rnacentral:rRNA from 1 species
UAGUAACGGCGAGCGAAGUGGGAACAAGCCCAGGUCUGAAAUCUUCCGGCCGGCUUUGUUACGGUCGGGCGAAUUGUGGUCUGGAGAGGCAAACUGUCCUGAUCCACUGCUCCUGAGCCCGAAAUUGACUUGGAACGGCAUGCCAAAGAGGGUGAGAGCCCCGUAGGGCCUAGAAAUUGGGAGUAGCAGGACGAGGGUUUGUACUCGUAGAGUCGGGUUGUUUGGGAAUGCAGCCCAAAGUGGGUGGUAGACUCCAUCCAAGGCUAAAUACAGGCGCGAGACCGAUAGCUGACAAGUACCGUGAGGGAAAGGUGAAAAGCACUUUGAAGAGAGAGUUCAAUAGACCGUGAAACCGUUGGGAGGGAAGCUCAGGGUGUCGAGGUUGUCGUGCUUCAUUAGAGUUCAGCUGAUGGUGACCAGGUAACUGGUCGCUGUUGGUGCAUUCUGUAAUGGAGUUUGACCGUCAGUUGGGAAGAYGACAAGGUCUGUUUAUCGGCCGUGGGGAGGUAUGCCUUUCUGAGCCUUGUGUGAAGUUGGGUAACGUACAGCCUUCAGUCGUGGCCUUGUUUGUCUUUCAGGUGCGUCGGAUGUCUUUUCGUUCGUAAGUGGAAGGUGCAGCCUCCCCUUGUGGGGGGUCGGGGCCGCUGACAG